AGUAAGAUAAGCUAAACCAAAGCUAUUGGGCUCAUACCCUGACAAUACGAUUUCUCGUUCUUACUA
rnacentral:tRNA from 1 species